GACAUCAUCUGUCGCCCUAAUGGCAAGUUCUACCUAGGAGAUGCUGGCUAUGCAUGUCGCCCAGGUGUUCUUCCACCCUUCAGGAAAACUAGGUACCAUCUGAACGAGUUCUCUGUUAGGAACUAUCCUAGGACUCCACAUGAGCUGUUCAAUCUCAGACACUCCAGCCUUAGAGUGACGGUUGAGAGGGCAUUUGGAGCUCUCAGGAACAGGUUCAAGAUCCUGGAUCAGAAUCCAUUCCACCCUUACCCUACCUAGGUUAAGCUUAUUCUUGCAUGUUGCAUUCUGUGUAACUAGAUCCUACAAUGGGGUGUUGAAAUACCCUGA
rnacentral:rRNA from 1 species